rnacentral:sRNA from 36 species
UGCAUCUGAAGCCUGACGAGGAUGAGAACCUCCGGGGGCAAGAGGUUCGACUCGAGCGCAGCGAGAGAACGUUGCGUCAGCAACGGCCCGCAGGGCGAGCCACGCAGUGGCGAGUCAUCCUCUAUCACCAGCA